rnacentral:sRNA from 1 species
UUGGCUGCCAACGCGGUCCACAGGGUUUGGGCUCCCGAAACUUCAGGGAAGCUGGAGGCAUGGGCGGGGGAGGGGGGGGUCGAGUUGAAAUGAGGAGCACACAGAAACCAAGUGUCCCCAAGACUCCAGAAAAGAGGGAGCCAGUCCCAGAGUAAAUAGGUUGGCUAGAACAGUACCCAAGCCAGGGAGCCGGGCGGAGGGGAGUGGUCACGUCCAGACUGGAAAACUUUCUGCAAAGCAACGGGUUGGGUCCACCUCGCUGUCCAGUUUCAGUCACGUGCCAGACUUUUUCUUAAUUACAAACUGAUAGAUGGUCCACAUCUCAACUAACAGUAUUGACGCUGUAAGAGCAUCAGAUUUGAAACAUAUCUGUGUUAAUGAAGAGUGACUGCAUGCAAACGACAAUAUGUCAGGAAAGAAAAAAAGAUCCCAUAGAAAUGUUUCAUUCUGGACAGCUGGUAAAAGUCUGUGCCCCAAUGGUUCGAUAUUCAAAGU